rnacentral:rRNA from 1 species
GACGAACGCUGGCGGCGUGCUUAACACAUGCAAGUCGAACGGAGUGGCGAACGGGUGAGUAACACGUGGGUGACCUGCCCUGCACUUCGGGAUAAGCCUGGGAAACUGGGACUAAUACCGGAUAGUGUGGGAUGGGCCCGCGGCCUAUCAGCUUGGUGGGGGGGUAAUGGCCUACCAAGGCGGCGACGGGUAGCCGGCCUGCGAGGGUGGACGGCCACAAUGGGACUGAGACACGGACCAGACGCCUACGGGAGGAAGCAGUGGGGAAGAUUGAACAAUGGGCGGAAGCCUGAUGCAGGGACGCCGCGGGGGGGAGGACGGCCUUCGGGUUGUAAACUCCUUUCACCAUCGACGCGGUAGAUGGAGAAGAAGCACCGGCUAACUACGUGCCAGCAGCCGCGGUAAUUC